AACGAACGCUGGCGGCAGGCUUAACACAUGCAAGUCGAACGAGAUCUUCGGAUCUAGUGGCAGACGGGUGAGGAACACGUGGGAACAUCCCUUUCAGUUCGGAAUAACGUUGGGAAACUAACGCUAAUACCGGAUACGUCCUUCGGGAGAAAGAUUUAUCGCUGAAAGAUUGGCCCGCGUCUGAUUAGCUAGUUGGUGAGGUAACGGCUCACCAAGGCUACGAUCAGUAGCUGAUCUGAGAGGGUGAUCAGCCACAUUGGGACUGAGACACGGCCCAAACUCCUACGGGAGGCAGCAGUGGGGAAGAUUGGACAAUGGGCGCAAGCCUGAUCCAGCCAUGCCGCGUGAGUGAUGACGGCCUUCGGGUUGUAAAGCUCUUUUGUCCGGGAAGAUAAUGACUGUACCGGAAGAAUAAGCCCCGGCAAGCUUCGUGCCAGCCGCCGCCGUAA
rnacentral:rRNA from 1 species